rnacentral:lncRNA from 1 species
UUUGCGUGGAUGAUGCCACAGGUAGGCUGAUGCCUGGAGUGAGUGAGAGCGUUACCGGUGUCUUUUUGCUCCCGCACUCUUCCUCUCCUCUCCCUCUGUCUCUCACUCUCUCACUCUGCCUCCGUCCGUCUCUCUAUCACGGUGGGGUGAGCGCACGUCUGCGCGCGCGAGUGUGUUCGCGUCGCGUGCCACGCUCAGUGCUCAGUAGGAGUGGGAGAGAGAGAGAGAGAGAGAGAGAGGGAGAGGGAGAGGGAGAGAGAGAGAGAGAGAGCGGGCGCGUGAAGUGAAGUGAGCGAGUGAGCCAAGCGAAGGUAGGUGUGUCCGGGAGGCAGAGGUAGAAAGGUAGAGUCGUGGCUCCUCGCCCCGGCAAGCGCGCACACCCACCCGCCGUCCGCCGGCUCUCAUCUGUACUCUCACUCACUCACUCACACACUCACACACACGCACACACACACACACGGAGGCAGGAUGUCGGCUUCUGUGUAGAGCGGAGAGGACGCGCUCCGUGACGAGCAGUUGUCCACCCUCACCACGACCACUUCUGGAGGACCCCCCGCGUCUGUUCUUCCUCAUCCACCUCCACCUCCUCCUUCUCUAGCCAACAAGAUAGACACUCCCCAAGGAAGGACCCUCGUCCUUUGACUUGUCGAAACGAACAACGACGAACGCAACACACGGAUAGAUAAGAACGAAAGAACAUCUUACCACGCCGAGUUACCACGGGAGUGAUCUAGAAGUGUCCAGCAAGAGUGUGACCAUUUCCGUCGGCUACUGGAUUGAAGAAGCUUUCGUGAUUGAAGAAGCUUUCGUGAUUGAAGAAGCUGUGGUGAUUGAAGAAGCUGUCGUGAUUGAAGAAGCUUUCGUUCGUACCGGUCAGCUGGCUGUUUUACUUCGGUCGCUGGAUUGAAUUCGGAUUUCUGUGUUGUGUUAAUUAUUUAAUUCUCAAGUUGCAAGUCGCCGUCGGGGGUACUUGUCUCUGUCUUCGCGUUGUGUGUUUGGCUGGAUGAACAGAGCGAGUUACUGGUUCGUUGUUGGCGGUGGCGUCAUAUCGUCCGGUGUAUAUAAAAUAUCGCGGUGACCGUGCCUCGGGUCUGGGUGGACAGACACUACAUGCACUCGUUGACCUUUUGGCCCGGUCUGUGAGUGGACACGGCACGCACUCGUUGACCUUCUGUGAGUGGACACGGCAUGCGCUCUUUGGCCUUCUCGCCCGUCUGUAGUCCUGCUGCCAGCCAGCGGUGAAGUCGUUCGGGCUAGAGCGAGGUCCAGGCAGCUGCUGCUGCUGUCGUUGUUGUCAGUUGUCCCCCGUGAGAUCCUCCUGUGUGCCACAGACACCCGCCCACCGCCCCCGCGUCAUCUCCAGUGUGUCGUGUGUCGAGUUCUCCAUACUUUUUGUGUUUUUUUGUUGUUUUUUUUACCUUCCUGCGAUUCAACUUCGCUUUCUUUUGGAUUUUGCCGUUAGUAUCUUUAUUUCUCAAGUGUGGUGGUAAUUAUGCUCUCGUGCGUUUGUGGAAGUUUUGUGACAUUUCUACCAAUUUUUGUGAAUUGAAAGUGAGUGUAUCCAGCGAAGUGCAUCAACAUGUUCACCACGAUGUCUGUAGGUUUGUCUUGAAGUAAAGGGAGAAAAAAAAGGAUACAUGAGAACAUCACAAUCAAAUUGGACGAAGAAUUAAGCA